CGCACCUUGCGCUCCUUGGUAUUCCGAGGAGCAUGCCUGUUUGAGUGUCAUGAAUCUCUCAAUACUAGAGCUUGUUAACUCAAGCGCUAGUCAUUGGAUUUGGGAGCUUGCCGGCUUUUGUUAGUCGGCUCUCCUUGAAUGCAUUAGCUUGGACCUUUUCACGAGGAUCCUCGGUGUGAUAAUUAUCUACGCCGUCAGAGAAUCGUGUGGCGCGUGCUACCCUGCUUUAUUGCAGCUGUUGUAGCCGCGGGGGGACAAGCUUAUAAUCGUCUUAGGACAAUCAUUAUGACAUCUGACCUCAAAUCAGGUAGGACUACCCGCUGAACUUAA
rnacentral:misc_RNA from 1 species